CAGCGUCCACUCUCUCUGUGGCUGCUAUCACACUUCAGGAGUAUUAUAUUAAUCUAUAGUCAUGAUAAGAUUUAAACGGCACUCGUGUAUUGUAUGGUGACGUGUGUGUGUGUACGUGGUGUCAUAUCAACUGUAAAUCCUUUAGAAAACAGUUUUUGUUUGUAUGUUAAACAGCUGUGUAGGGCCAUUAUGAAUCACACUAGACUGAAGAGCUGGAGAGGUGCCACUAAAGCAGAAACAAAAGCUGUCAAAACAACAAAAAAAAGGGGGUGCCACAAAUGAAAAAACACGAUUGUAAAGUCUGGUGAGGAGACAAGGCACUCUGUCACACACUGCAGAGAGCUUGAGUCAGUCCUUCCCAAGUUCUUAGGAAAUCGCCAUUUGCACCGUUUAAAUAAUGGAGGGACAGAAGCCACAUGCAACUAUCAACAUUGUAUAAUCAUCGUUCAUCCUCCUUUUUGGAAUCAAACCAAAAGGAGAACAAAGGCCAGUCGGGGAGAGUAAUUCCUAAGGAGACAAACAAGCUCACAGUUAAUCCUCGUCACCACUCUUCUGAAGAACUUGACGUCACUUCAUAAAGCCUGGAAGCUUGGAUGUCGACCUUCUGCCAGUUAUAACAGAGGACAUGUGAAGAUAUUACAAACUGUGUAUCCUGCAAUCUGUUUAUUUGUGCUUUUAUAUUUUUUAAACAGUAGUUUGCAAAGCAGUUGCUGUCUAGACUCAUGACUAAGUUUUGCUGGCAGCUCAGGAUAUUAAAAUUAACAGAUUUACAUUGACCCCCUUUGAAAGGGCAUGAACCUUGAGAAUUAUUUUAUUUAAACAUGCAUACUUGCAUA